rnacentral:rRNA from 1 species
UGCGCGGACCAAAGAGUGCCCCGGUGCUAACGAUCGGAUCGGGUGGACCGGGUGGUGGCGAGCAAGGAGAGAGCUAGGAAUAGGGCAUGUCCUCUAACAAGAGCAGGUGAGCAAGUAGGGGAAAGAGUAGGGGAUGGAGGUCGAUCGCGAAUGGAAGUCGGUCGUGGGUUUAAUUCAGCGGUGUCUUAGUGGGGGCGAGGGUAACGUCCGGAAAAAAGUAGAUCUAGCCCAUCUCUACCCCGACCGUCGGUUGGUGGGGCAGCGAUAACAGGUAACACGCUCCAACCUGUGAAAACGUUGGGCGUGCUGACCUCUACUGCCGGUGGCCACGAAGUUGGCUGAAUGAGGACCGCCCCCGGCCUACGAUGUUGGUAACCUACCUCCUUGGCGGACCCUCGCUUCGACGUAGGCAAGGGCCGCUUUCACCGUAGGGAAGGGCCGCUUUCAACGUAGGCAAUGGCCACUUUUGACGUAGGACAGUGGCCGCCGUGGCGCUGUUGUGCGCCCUCCACAACCUUGGCCGACGGCCUCCACAACGUAGGCAAAGGCCGCUUCGAUGUCGGCCGCCACGACGUUGGUGUAACUAGAUACGACCUUGGUUUGUCGGCAGCUUCAACAAAACGAUCGUGGCUGCUAAACAAAACGACCUUGGCUCGAAAACAACGACUCCAAAAAACGACCCUUUUACCACCACGGUCGGCUGCUGCCGCCGCUCGAUCUACGCCGUCGGGACUUCUACAACGUCUGGUGCUGCUCGUGCGCGACCUUGGUCAGCCACCCUCUCCACGUCAGCAGUGGCUAGCUUCGACCUUGGUGGCCGCCGGCACAACUUAGAGCGGCCGCUACCGCUCUGCCGCUUACAGCAGCUGCUAUAUCGUCGGACGUGCCGUCAAUAUAAAAAGUUAAUAGCCAGUUACCACGAUGCGGGUAUAGUCGCCGGGACGAACGGGGAGCCUAAGAAGUAGGAUUGGUCUGCUACAAGUGGUUCCCUGCUAUAUAAAAUCUACCCUAGGAGCAGGGCGUGUUCCAGGAAGUACUCCAAUUUUCCUUUGUGGAUGCGCGCUAAAAGAAAUUCUAACUACAGGUAUUCCGUAUACUAUGUUAGGUGACCAGGAAGGAAGCCCUCCCGUAGACGGGCGUGGAGUAACCUCUUCCCCCUGAAUGGGUGGAAUUCAUGCGCCUAUUGUGUUAGGACUACCAGCUUCCGAGUCUGGUCCUGUAAGUUGUAGAAUUCAAGGAGGAGGGCACGAAGGUUCUUUACAGCCAUAACUGUUAUUUGAAGUGCUUAUCGUUUCACUACCACAAUCCGAUGUAGCGCCUCCUUAGGGAGGCGUAUCGGUUAGCUGAAUUAACAGCUGUUCCUAGUAAGGGUUGAUGGAUAGAGUCGAACAGCUAAUCACUAAGAGCAGAGGUCCUUUUCCUGGAGACGUGAUGACAUAGGUUGCAAGUUGUAGCUCAGCUUGGUACAGUUCCGAACGUACUUAGGGAAGAAGUCGUUUAACGGUAUAUGGACAGGUCUAAGGAGACCCGUUCCGUCCCACUAGCCGUCUUUAUGGUGGGCCAAUUUACCAAACUCUAUACAUUCGAGUUCCUGGUCCCGCCGGACCCCCAGUAGAGGAGCUUCGCUUACUUAUAGUGGGAAGAUAGGUUCACCGACACCAAGUAAUUCUGGCCACUUUCCCCCUAACACCAAACU